rnacentral:rRNA from 1 species
GAUGAACGCUGGCGGCGUGCCUAAUACAUGCAAGUCGAGCGAACAGACGAGGAGCUUUCUCCUCUGACUUUAGCGGCGGACGGGUGAGUAAAACGUGGAUAACCGACCUAUAAGACUGGGAUAACUUCGGGAAACCGGGGCUAAUACCGGAUAAUAUAUUGAACCGCAUGGUUCAAUAGUGAAAGACGGUUUUGCUGUCACUUAUAGAUGGAUCCGCGCCGCAUUAGCUAGUUGGUAAGGUAACGGCUUACCAAGGCAACGAUGCGUAGCCGACCUGAGAGGGUGAUCGGCCACACUGUAACUGAGACACGGUCCAGACUCCUACGGGAGGCAGCCGUAGGGAAUCUUCCGCAAUGGGCGAAAGCCUGACGGAGCAACGCCGCGUGAGUGAUGAAGGUCUUCGGAUCGUAAAACUCUGUUAUUAGGGAAGAACAAAUGUGUUAGUAACUAUGCACGUCUUGACGGUACCUAAUCAGAAAGCCACGGCUAACUACGUG